AAUGUGUGAUUUUUAAUAUAAUUUUACAUCUUAACAAUAACUUUGCCAAUCAGAGAGCAAAAACAAGAAGGAAAUUGUAGUGGGGGCAGUCCCGAUAUCCCAAUUUCCGUCGUGUAAUCCACCCUAAACCCUAGCUUUUGUUUGCGUUUUUCAUUCUCUGUACGGCCUUCUCUCUGUAAAUUUUUUCAAGAAUAUUCUUCAAUUAUUUCAUUUAAGGUUUUUUUUUUGGGGGAAGGGAUUGGUUUUGGAAGAUGGAUAUUGAGCAAAAACAAGCAGAGUUAAUCGAUCACUUCGUGAAGCAAGCGUCGGCUCAGAAGGGCUCGGCUCUUGGCUCCGUAAUCGUCGAAGCGACGUCGCAUCCUUCUCUCUUCGCCUUCUCCGAGAUUCUUGCCGUGCCCACUGUCGCUGAGCUUGAAGGAACUGACAACUCAUUGUACCUUGAGGUGCUUCGGUUGUUUGCACAUGGCACAUGGAGCGAUUACAAGAGUAAUAGCGGUAGUUUUCCUCAACUGGUCCCUGAUCAAGUCCUCAAGCUAAAGCAACUUACUGUCCUUACUCUUGCCGAGACAAACAAGGUACUACCAUAUGAUCAACUAAUGCUGGAGUUAGACGUCUCAAAUGUCCGCGAACUUGAAGAUUUUCUUAUCAAUGAGUGCAUGUAUGUGGGUAUAGUUAGAGGAAAGCUGGAUCAGCUGCGAAGAUGUUUUGAGGUCCAAUUUGCUGCUGGGAGGGAUUUGAGGCCUGGACAACUUGGGAGUAUGAUACAAACGCUAUCAAACUGGUUGGCUACGUCAGACAACUUACUUAUCUCAAUUCAAGAGAAGAUAAAAUGGGCUGAUACUAUGAGUGAGUUGGACAAGAAACAUCGAAAGGAGGUUGAAGAUAGGGUGGAAGACGUAAAGAAGUCCCUCUCCCUCAAGGCCGAUGUUGACUUCCGAGGGCUUGAGGAGAUCUACUGUGAACCUGGUGGAGUGAUGGACUAUGAGGAAGAUCGAAGCCGACCCAAGAGGAGACGGCAUCCGAUAACCUGAAGAGUGAAGAUAGAGCAUGCAACUUAUUGGAUGGGUGUUUAGGUGACCAGCCAGAUUUUUGUUCACGACAUUCUGGCAACAGUUGUAGUUAUAUAUAUGAAUUGAGCCAUCGGGUGUGGAGAAAUUGCCAAGAAAACAACCAAGAGAAUAGGUAGCCAAAAGACGUUUGAAAGCAAAGAAGCAGCCAAAGUUUUGUAACUGCUACUGUCAUGCCAUGACACACGUAUCAUGUUUUUACUACUCUCAAGCUUUGCUGUAUAUGGGAGAUCGAUAAGAUUCGCACCUAGAAUAAAACACAAGGCUCAAAACAACUGUUGGUUUUCCUGCUAC